UACGUAGGGGGCUAGCGUUGUCCGGAAUCAUUGGGCGUAAAGAGCGUGUAGGCGGCCCGGUAAGUCCGCUGUGAAAGUCGGGGGCUCAACCCUCGAAUGCCGGUAGAUACUGUCGGGCUAGAGUGCGGAAGAGGCGAGUGGAAUUCCUGGUGUAGCGGUGAAAUGCGCAGAUAUCAGGAGGAACACCGAUUGCGAAGGCAGCUCGCUGGGACGUCACUGACGCUGAGACGCGAAAGCGUGGGGAGCAAACAGG
rnacentral:rRNA from 1 species